AUGCAGCCUUCCAAGAAACUUGCUCGCGUCGACACGGCGGAGAUCAAGUCGCAGCUAGUCAGGAAGCUCGGCCACCAGCGCUCUGAGCUCUACUUCCAUAGCCUCAAGAAGUUCCUGAGUUUUCAGCUAGGCAAGAGCGAGUUUGACAAGAUCUGCGUGGCCACACUGGGGAAGGAGAACAUCAAGCUUCACAAUUUCCUCGUCCAGUCAAUCCUCGGCAAUGCUUAUAUGUCGCUGGGGCCACCGCCCAGCAGGCAGACGCCAACUGGGAAUUCACAGACUAGCGCUGUGACGAAUGGGACAUUGGCCAGUGGCGUGCCGCUAGCAAGGAGAGUGCGGCCGGUGGCUAACCGUGACAAGAGGUUUGCUGAUAAGCCGAGUCCACUCGGAAAGUCCCCUCUUGGACAUCCAGGGGCCGCGGAGUUUGUGUCCGUCGAGGAUGGCGAGGAGGUUGAUCAAGCCAGGGGCAGCCCCGUAUGUGUGCAGAGUCAGAGCCCAAUCAGGGCUCCGUUGGGAAUCCCCCCAAAGGCUCAGAAUUCUCAGCCUUCGAUAUCUUACCCCUUAGAGAUUUGCUAUAAUAAUGGUGAAUUGCCAGGUAGCGAGGACCUGUCAAAGCUACUUGAGAAUAAGCUGAAAGCCGAAGGCCUUAGCAUAUCCGUAGAAUGUGCUGAUCUGCUGAACUCUGGGCUGAACGUGUACAUAAGUCAGAUGCUGAAGUCUUGUUUGGGGGUUGCAAAAGCAAGGGGAAAGACAAUGAGGAUGCCAGAAGCUAACAGGAGUGCCUCUGCUGCUGUAAAUGGUGGGCGGAAUAAUGCCACUGCUUCAGAUUUAGGCUGUUCCUACCAAGCUUCACUGGUAGAUCUCUGCACAGCUGUACAGUCUAAUGCUCGGUUACUGGGGUGUGACUACGCCAGGCAAUACGAGAAGAUUGCUUCCCACCUUGACAGCUAA
rnacentral:rRNA from 1 species